rnacentral:rRNA from 1 species
GACGAACGCUGGCGGCGUGCUUAACACAUGCAAGUCGAACGAAGAGCGAUGGAAGCUUGCUUCUAUCAAUCUUAGUGGCGAACGGGUGAGUAACGCGUAAUCAACCUGCCCUUCAGAGGGGGACAACAGUUGGAAACGACUGCUAAUACCGCAUACGAUCUAAACUCGGCAUCGAGGAUAGAUGAAAGGUGGCCUCUACAUGUAAGCUAUCACUGAAGGAGGGGAUUGCGUCUGAUUAGCUAGUUGGAGGGGUAACGGCCCACCAAGGCGAUGAUCAGUAGCCGGUCUGAGAGGAUGAACGGCCACAUUGGGACUGGGACACGGCCCAGACUCCUACGGGAGGCAGCAGUGGGGAAUCUUCCGCAAUGGACGAAAGUCUGACGGAGCAACGCCGCGUGAGUGAUGACGGCCUUCGGGUUGUAAAGCUCUGUUAAUCGGGACGAAAGGCCUUCUUGCGAAUAGUGAGAAGGAUUGACGGUACCGGAAUAGAAAGCCACGGCUAACUACGUG